rnacentral:rRNA from 1 species
UACGUAGGGACCGAGCGUUGUCCGGAUUCAUUGGGCGUAAAGAGCUCGUAGGCGGCUGCUCAAGUCGAAUGUGAAAACUCGAGGCUCAACCUCGAGCCUGCAUUCGAUACUGGGCGGCUAGAGUCUGGUAGGGGGAUCGUGGAAUUCCUGGUGUAGCGGUGGAAUGCGCAGAGUAUCAGGAGGAACACCGGUGGCGCAAGGCGGGAUCCUGGGCCAGUACUGACGCUGAGGAGCGAAAGCGUGGGGAGCGAACAGG